rnacentral:lncRNA from 1 species
GAUUGGUUGUUUUAUUUGUUUUUUUAAUUGUGUUAAAGAUGUGAUGGUGUUCGUGUUCGUUGACAUUGCGAUACUACCUUCAAACCUAUUUGGGUCUUACAUUCAGUGGGUCAUUUCUUCACCGACGCUGCAGUGGUGGGUUUUUAGUGGAUCGUCGUGCCCGGUGAGAGCUCGUUGUCGUCAUUGUUGUGUUCGUCAGUUUUUGGGUUUUCAUGUUCGCCGGAUUUUGGUCUAGUCACACUGUUGUUGUUGCGCUACUGUUCAUCUCUUUUGGCAAAAACAAUGUUGUCUCUUUUGCUGUGUUUUUUUAAAACAGCGGUGGUUUGAGUUCCUUUUGGAUCCACGUAGUCGUCG